rnacentral:rRNA from 1 species
AUACGUAGGGAGCAAGCGUUGUCCGGAUUUACUGGGUGUAAAGGGUGCGUAGGCGGUUCUGCAAGUCAGUUGUGAAAACUAUGGGCUUAACCCAUAGCCUGCAAUUGAAACUGUGGGACUUGAGUGAAGUAGAGGUAGGUGGAAUUCCCGGUGUAGCGGUGAAAUGCGUAGAGAUCGGGAGGAACACCAGUGGCGAAGGCGGCCUACUGGGCUUUAACUGACGCUGAAGCACGAAAGCAUGGGUAGC